UGGGGAAUUUUGGACAAUGGGGGCAACCCUGAUCCAGCCAUGCCGCGUGAGUGAAGAAGGCCUUCGGGUUGUAAAGCUCUUUCAGUGGGAACGAAACGGCGGGCUCUAACAUAGCCUGUUAAUGACGGUACCCACAGAAGAAGCACCGGCUAACUACGUGCCAGCAGCCGCGGUAAUACGUAGGGUGCGAGCGUUAAUCGGAAUUACUGGGCGUAAAGCGUGCGCAGGCGGUUUCGCAAGCUAGGCGUGAAAGCCCCGGGCUUAACCUGGGAAUGGCGCUUAGGACUGCGAGGCUAGAGUACGGCAGAGGGAGGUAGAAUUCCACGUGUAGCAGUGAAAUGCGUAGAGAUGUGGGGGAAUACCGAUGGCGAAGGCAGCCUCCUGGGCCUGUACUGACGCUCAUGCACGAAAAGCGUGGGGAGCAAACAGGAUUAGAUACCCUGGUAGUCCACGCCCUAAAAACGAUGUCAACUGGUUGUUGGGGGGAGUUAAAAUCUCUCAGUAACGAAGCUAACGCGUGAAGUUGACCNCCUGGGAAAGUACGGCCGCAAGGUUAAAAACUCAAAAUGAAUUGACGGGGUCAUAGCUGUUUACCUG
rnacentral:rRNA from 1 species